UCUUCAAUAGCUCAGUGGUAGAGCAAUCGGCUGUUAACCGAUUAGUCGUAGGUUCAAAUCCUACUUGGGGAG
rnacentral:tRNA from 1 species